GUAGGUGAACCUGCGGAAGGAUCAUUAUCGAGCGAAUCCAAAACGAAAAAGUCUCCCAACGUGCAUACCAUCCAUUUGCAUGUUGUUGUGAGCCACAUAGAAACUCAUACACGUGUGGUGGCAGCCGUCUGAUGUGCUUUAUCGUGCAGACAAUGGCUUAUGAGUGGCUGUGUGAUUGUUGAACAACGGUGACCAAUUUGGCGUCUACGCCGUAUCUAGCUUCUGCCUGGACCGUCGGUAGCGAUGAAAGAUGCGGAGGAAGUUCCUCUGUUUUGGUACGCUAAAGCAGAGUUGAGCAGACUUAAUGAGCCACGCUUGGUGGCCGCCAAAACCCAAAACACAACCAGUCUAUUUUAACGUUUGUUGAUAUGUUAAUGUACAAAUCUUGGCGGUGGAUCACUCGGUUCGUGGAUCGAUGAAGAACGCAGCCAGCUGCGAUAAAUAGUGCGAAUUGCAGACACAUUGAGCACUAAGAAUUCGAACGCACAUUGCGCUAUCGGGUUCAUUCCCGAUGGCACGUCUGGCUGAGGGUCGAAUUAUAGUAAACUAUCUUCGAGUACUUUUUAUGGUCGUGAAGUAUUCGGCAAGUAGUGCAGUCGGAUUGUUUUUGUUGGUCGUCCGUUCGUUCGGUCGGUCAACAACAAUAUUCUGAGGCUCCUUGCUUAGUUGUGUUCUAGUAGACGUUAACACCUGAACAAUAUGUGGUGGUGAUAUUGGUGAUGGCGAGAAUCAUGCCGCUUCAAUGGGGCAGCAACCAGCAUACGCUAAUGACAGUUGGUUGAUUGAAGCCAGGGCAACGGAGUGAUGUACGUGUGGCGAUCAUUUAACGUUUAUAUUUGACCUCAGCUCAGUCGUGAUUACCC
rnacentral:misc_RNA from 1 species